GGGGCCAUAGCUCAGAUGGGAGAGCGCUUGCAUGGCAUGCAAGAGGUCGUGGGUUCGAAUCCCAUUGGCUCCA
rnacentral:tRNA from 2 species